AAGCUAUGCAAGGCUAAAUUAUCACCAGUAACCUGUACCAAACUGCCACGAACACAACCAUCAUACAGUGGAAUAACAAUGCCAUCGCUUUCCAACACUUUAAUGUCUCGAACAACUGGAGCAAGGAUUUCAUUAAAACCAUAUCGUUUAAGAUCUUGUGCAUGAAACAAAGCACAGAGGUGUAUGUUGGCCAAGACGGAAUUCCAUUUUGGAGAAAAAUUUCUUACAGUAAAAUAUAUUGCACCCAUUUUGUGAAUACCUCGCUUGGAACCAAGAGGAUUUGCAACCUCAAAAUCGUCAUAAAACAUUUGGAUCUGUACUGUAUGUUUUUCAGUUGAAAACAGAGGAUGAGUUUUGAAAAAAGAACCAUCACUAAUAUCUCUGAGUGUUGAGUCAUUAGUGUCUAAGCUUAUCAACAUUUCUGCAGUAUACUGACUAUUGAAUACUGAUUGCAGUGUAGAUAAAAUUGGAAUGUACAUGAAUUUAUCUUUAACUACUAUCUGAUCAUAUGUUCCAGUGCUUUUAUUUCGCCUUGUGUCAAAUCUGGAGCCAAUUACGUAUUCAAGUGGUUCUACAAUUUCCCUUUUUUCUGAUAAAAAUUUUGAUCGCUUGUAUUCUGAAUUAAGAAUUGAAAAAGGAUUAUCUAAGUCGUCAAAACAAGCUUCAACUUUUUUGCAAACUUCUGUUUCUCUUUCAUCAUUAAAUACAUGUCUAAUGACAGUUUCUUUUGCAUGCUGCUGUACAUCUUUAACUAUCUCUUCCAUGGAACCAACAACAGAGUUCACAAUGCUUUGGCCUAAACCUGCAGCCUGUAGAUCGGAAAUUACACUUGCACAACUAUUUACAAGGUUAGCUGAAGAUAAACCUGACUCGGUCUCUAAACAUUUAGAUACUUGAAAAUCAGUGGAAUUACUUGUGUUAGGAACACUUUGACAAGAUGAAACAUUGGGUUCUUCAACUGAAUUAAAUGAAUUGUCAACAUGACACUUGUUUAGAUGCUUUCUAAAACCAGAAAAACUACCAAAAGAACGUGAGCAUCCCAUUUGGCCACAUUUAAGAUAAAGAGUCCUGCCAGUGCAGAGACCAUGGAUUACUUUAAGGUGCUUAAUAAGGCUGUUUGGUGUACCACGGUCCCUUUUGCAAAGAAAACACUUCAUUGUUAUGGCUCACCCGAUUCUAGCGCAGCAUUCUUGCUCGCAACUCUGCAACUCUGGGAGUUUGUUUUGUUUCUGCUACAUCGAUGUUGUAAACGGUUGUUUGGAGAAAAGUGAAAAAGUUGGUCAGGGCAUGACUGUAUGACGUACCGAAUACAUAAUGAGCUUUAAAGAGUUCAUCAAGAGCUCCCACUGAACCAGUUGCCUUGCAUGGAAGUGCAUGCUUGUUGAUCACAAUGAAGAAGGUGUGGAUCCUGCUUCUUGUAGUUCCCUGAGCAAGAAGGUAGGGCUGGCAGCUUUGGCUAAUAUGGUCUAGAUGCUGUUGUACACUGGUUCCAGCCUAAGACAGAAAUGAGAAUAUAGUGAAAAAGUUGAUGUAUUUCAACAAUAAGACUCAUUCCAUACAAAGCCAGAUAUUUCAGCCUUUGUUAUAAUUAUAAUACUUAUGGCUUACAGAUAAUGAAAACCCUGCAUUCAAAAAUUCAGACAAUUAGAAUAUUGCAUUAAAAAAAUCCAACACUGCUUUUAAAUAGAAAAUUGUCAGACAUAAGUACUUUGCAAUUGGUUUUGCUUUUACUAAAAUAAAUUAUUGUGCAACAUUCUAAUUUUUGGAGUUUCAAAUG
rnacentral:lncRNA from 1 species